rnacentral:tRNA from 1 species
UCCGCGUUAGCUCAGUUGGUAGAGCAGUUGGCUUUUAACCAAUUGGUCGUAGGUUCGAAUCCAGGUCGUGGAGCCA